GAUGAAGAACGUAGCGAAAUGCGAUACUUGGUGUGAAUUGCAGAAUCCCGUGAACCAUCGAGUCUUUGAACGCAAGUUGCGCCCGAAGCCAUUAGGCCGAGGGCACGCCUGCCUGGGCGUCACACGUCGUUGCCCCCCCAUCUACUCCUUCGGGAUUGCGGGGGGCGGAUGAUGACCUCCCGUGCGCCUCGCCGCGCGGUUGGCAUAAAUGCCAAGUCCUCGGCGACGCACGCCACGACAAUCGGUGGUUGCGAAACCUCGGUUGCCCGUCGUGUGCGGUCGUCGCGCAUCGAGGGCUCGAAAAAAUUGCCGGGUUCCGGCUCGGCUUUCAACGCGACCCCAGGUCAGGCGGGGUUACCCGCUGAAUUUAAGCAUAUCAAUAAGCGGAGGA
rnacentral:misc_RNA from 1 species